CACGUAGGGCGCGAGCGUUGUCCGGAAUUAUUGGGCGUAAAGAGCUCGUAGGCGGCCUGUUGCGUCCGCUGUGAAAGCCCGGGGCUUAACCCCGGGUCGGCAGUGGAUACGGGCAGGCUAGAGGUAGGUAGGGGGAGAAUGGAAUUCCUGGUGUAGCGGUGGAAUGCGCAGAUAUCAGGAGGAACACCGGUGGCGAAGGCGGGUCUCUGGGCUGUAACUGACGCUGAGGAGCGAAAGCGUGGGUAGCGAACAGG
rnacentral:rRNA from 1 species